CCUACGGGUGGCAGCAGUGAGGAAUAUUGGUCAAUGGACGAGAGUCUGAACCAGCCAAGUAGCGUGAAGGAUGCCUGCCCUAUGGGUUGUAAACUUCUUUUAUAUGGGAAUAAAAUGUUCCACGUGUGGGAUUUUGUAUGUACCAUAUGAAUAAGGAUCGGCUAACUCCGUGCCAGCAGCCGCGGUAAUACGGAGGAUCCGAGCGUUAUCCGGAUUUAUUGGGUUUAAAGGGAGCGUAGGUGGAUUGUUAAGUCAGUUGUGAAAGUUUGCGGCUCAACCGUAAAAUUGCAGUUGAAACUGGCAGUCUUGAGUACAGUAGAGGUGGGCGGAAUUCGUGGUGUAGCGGUGAAAUGCUUAGAUAUCACGAAGAACUCCGAUUGCGAAGGCAGUUCACUGGACUGCAACUGACACUGAGGCUCGAAAGUGUGGGUAUCAAACAGGAUUAGAUACCCUAGUAGUC
rnacentral:rRNA from 1 species